CUAAAUAUACACUUACCUAUAUACAUUCAUAUCACUUUAAGCUAAAUUCUCUUAAAGAUGUUUUUUGUCAACUACCCACAAGUACCCCCCAACACAUGUGAACUACAUUUCCCAUGAAGCGCAGCUCGUCGCUUCCGUGACGUCUUUGUCCACGUGAGCUUCAUUCAGCUGAGCGCUGCAAGGAUGAAUGGCUGGGGUUUGUUUAAACGAUCUUAUGUUUAAUAUGUUUUCUGCUCACAAAUGUUGUAAGUGUCUUGUAUGUGUAACUCCUGUUUGUUGCUCCCUGGUGUUCUGAGUCGCGUGCAUGCAGUGAAAGCGCACAUCCAUCCGGAUGAAGCUGCACAAACACAUCUGAUGAGACAUAAACGCUCAUUUAACGCAGUGAUCAUUUUUUCCCCGAGCCAUUCAGUGUGGUUUAUAUAACCAUGCCUGGGUUCGGCGUCAUGAAACCAUCACUUGUUCGUGAAAUCACGCCAUAUAUAUUUGUGUAGCAGAGUGAAGUCCUGGAAUGCUCGAGUGCGGGGGUGUCUGUCUGUCCCUUCACUGCAGUCACACAUCUGACCAGCAUAUACAUGCCUCACACGGCAAACAACACUCAGGAUGAGAAAUAAAUGGCUCUGGAAAUGUUAUUUGACUUGUUUACAGGGGGUGGAAGAUGGAAACGUUGGAAAAAUGGAGCAGAGACAUCAUGGCACCUCAUCAGCUGGAUAAGAAAGCGCAGUCCAAACAAAAUGGCAUGAUUGCAAAGAAUCUGCUCAACUCUCUCAAGAUUCGCAAUCAUUUGCAACUCCAGCCAAUUUCUCGUUCAGCAUGUGCCACUGGUAAGCACUACAGUAUGUGUUUAUGUAAAUGUUUUCUGUUAUGACAUUCAUAUACUGUGGAUGUCACUGUCUAACAAAAGUUUAUUUCUGUUAACUAUCUUUUUUAGUAUGUUUUCCAUAUGUAUUCAAACCUGAUUUAGCAAAAUGAUUAAUUGUAAAUUGAAAGAAAUGUCUUAUUACUAUUUAUUAAAGAAAUCUUAAAAAAAAAUAAAAACAUUAGAAAUGUAAAAAAUAAAAUCA
ensembl:lncRNA